GACGAACGCUGGCGGCGUGCUUAACACAUGCAAGUCGAACGGAGUGGCGAACGGGUGAGUAACACGUGGGUGACCUGCCCUGCACUUCGGGAUAAGCCUGGGAAACUGGGUCUAAUCCCGGUUAGUGUGGGAUGGGCCCGCGGCCUAUCAGCUUGUUGGUGGGGUAAUGGCCUACGAAGGCGGAGACGGGUAGCCGGCUUGAGAGGGUGGACGGCCACAUGGGGGCUGCGACACGGCCCAGACUCCUACGGGUGGAAGAAGUGGGGAAUAUUGCACAAUGGGCGGAAGCCUGGUGAAGCGACGCCGCGUGGGGGAUGACGGCCUUCGGGUUGAAAACUCCUUUCACCAUCGACGCGGUAGAUGGAUAAGAAGCACCGGCUAACUACGUGCCAGCAGCCGCGGUAAUUC
rnacentral:rRNA from 1 species